AAAAUCCGUCGACUUUUAAAAAUCGUGAGGGUUCAAGUCCUUCUAUCCCCA
rnacentral:tRNA from 1 species